CUAAAGCUGAAAAGUGAAGCCACGAAUAGCUCAUUAAACCAUAUCUAACCUAGCGUGAAUCUAAACUUGGAUAUCUGAGGUAAUUCUUCAGCUAAUACAUGACAUAAAUUCUGGUUAACAGAAUGUCGUUACUAGCAACGAAUCAAAGCUCCUAUAAUGGGAGUAACCAAGGAAUCGAAGUAAUAUAGAUUAAUAGUAUAGACACAGUUCUGACUAUAACCACGCUAAGGGUAUGACUUAUCAACUGUUGACUGUGGUAUAUUUGACCACCGUGGUAUUGACGAGUAACAGAGAAUCAGGGUUCGAUUCUGGAGAGGGAGCUUGAGAAAUAGCUACCACAUCCAAGGAAGGCAGCAGGCGCGCAAAUUACCCAAUUGUCGAAGACAGAGGUAGUGAUGAUAAAUAACAAUACAAGACUCGUCCGAGGCCUUGUAAUUGGAAUGAGGUUAAUAUAAAUACCUAUCCAAGGAUCUAUUGGAGGGCAAGUCUGGUGCCAGCAGCCGCGGUAAUUCCAGCUCCAAUAGCGUAUAUUAAUGUUGUUGUGGUUAAAAAGCUCGUAGUUGGAUAUCGACAAGGUUCAAAUAGAUUCACGAUUGUGAAUAUAUAUGAAGGCUUGUAGCUGGGGAAGUAACUGGUGUAAAAUCUUAACUGAUUUUUGCAUAUAGUAACUUCAAAUAUUACUUUGAAAAAAUCAAAGUGCUUAAAACAGGCGUGAAGCUUGUAUAUUUGUGCAUGGGAUAAUAGAACAAGAGUUUAAACUCGUUCUGUUGGUUGAAGAGUUGGAGCUAAUGAUU
rnacentral:rRNA from 1 species